AGUGAACGCUGGCGGUAGGCCUAACACAUGCAAGUCGAACGGCAGCACAGUAAGCGCUUGCUCUUACGGGUGGCGAGUGGCGGCCGGGUGAGGAAUACAUCGGAAUCUACUUUUUCGUGGGGGAUAACGUAGGGAAACUUACGCUAAUACCGCAUACGACCUACGGGUGAAAGCAGGGGAUCUUCGGACCUUGCGCGAUUGAAUGAGCCGAUGUCGGAUUAGCUAGUUGGCGGGGUAAAGGCCCACCAAGGCGACGAUCCGUAGCUGGUCUGAGAGGAUGAUCAGCCACACUGGAACUGAGACACGGUCCAGACUCCUACGGGAGGCAGCAGUGGGGAAUAUUGGACAAUGGGCGCAAGCCUGAUCCAGCCAUACCGCGUGGGUGAAGAAGGCCUUCGGGUUGUAAAGCCCUUUUGUUGGGAAAGAAAAGCAGCAGGUUAAUACCCCGCUGUUCUGACGGUACCCAAAGAAUAAGCACCGGCUAACUUCGUG
rnacentral:rRNA from 1 species